GACGAACGCUGGCGACGUGCUUAACACAUGCAAGUCGAACGGAAAGGCCCUGCUUUUGUGGGGUGCUCGAGUGGCGAACGGGUGAGUAACACGUGAGUAACCUGCCCUUGACUUUGGGAUAACUUCAGGAAACUGGGGCUAAUACCGGAUAGGAGCUCCUGCUGCAUGGUGGGGGUUGGAAAGUUUCGGCGGUUGGGGAUGGACUCGCGGCUUAUCAGCUUGUUGGUGGGGUAGUGGCUUACCAAGGCUUUGACGGGUAGCCGGCCUGAGAGGGUGACCGGCCACAUUGGGACUGAGAUACGGCCCAGACUCCUACGGGAGGCAGCAGUGGGGAAUAUUGCACAAUGGGCGGAAGCCUGAUGCAGCAACGCCGCGUGCGGGAUGACGGCCUUCGGGUUGUAAACCGCUUUCGCCUGUGACGAAGCGUGAGUGACGGUAAUGGGUAAAGAAGCACCGGCUAACUACGUGCCAGCAGCCGCGGUGAUACGUAGGGUGCGAGCGUUGUCCGGAUUUAUUGGGCGUAAAGGGCUCGUAGGUGGUUGAUCGCGUCGGAAGUGUAAUCUUGGGGCUUAACCCUGAGCGUGCUUUCGAUACGGGUUGACUUGAGGAAGGUAGGGGAGAAUGGAUUUCCUGGUGGAGCGGUGGAAUGCGCAGAUAUCAGGAGGAACACCAGUGGCGAAGGCGGUUCUCUGGGCCUUUCCUGACGCUGAGGAGCGAAAGCGUGGGGAGCGAACAGGCUUAGAUACCCUGGUAGUCCACGCUGUAAACGGUGGGUACUAGGUGUGGGGUCCAUUCCACGGGUUCCGUGCCGUAGCUAACGCUUUAAGUACCCCGCCUGGGGAGUACGGCCGCAAGGCUAAAACUCAAAGGAAUUGACGGGGCCCCGCACAAGCGGCGGAGCAUGCGGAUUAAUUCGAUGCAACGCGUAGAACCUUACCUGGGUUUGACAUGGAUCGGGAGUGCUCAGAGAUGGGUGUGCCUCUUUUGGGGUCGGUUCACAGGUGGUGCAUGGCUGUCGUCAGCUCGUGUCGUGAGAUGUUGGGUUAAGUCCCGCAACGAGCGCAACCCUUGUUCACUGUUGCCAGCACGUUAUGGUGGGGACUCAGUGGAGACCGCCGGGGUCAACUCGGAGGAAGGUGGGGAUGACGUCAAGUCAUCAUGCCCCUUAUGUCCAGGGCUUCACGCAUGCUACAAUGGCUGGUACAGAGAGUGGCGAGCCUGUGAGGGUGAGCGAAUCUCGGAAAGCCGGUCUCAGUUCGGAUUGGGGUCUGCAACUCGACCUCAUGAAGUCGGAGUCGCUAGUAAUCGCAGAUCAGCAACGCUGCGGUGAAUACGUUCCCGGG
rnacentral:rRNA from 1 species